GGGGCAACAGUGUAUAAACAUAUAUCAUGACAAAAAACAUACUAAGUAUUAUUAAUCGGCUAGCAAAGAGAAGUUAAACAUACGACAUGAACUGAAUUAACUAGUGCGCACGACUAGUUAAAAGAAACAAACUUCCUUUGACAAUAAGUUUCUAAUUAAAUCAUGGCUGCGCCUGGGCUGCGUUAUUGUGAGAGUGAAAGUGGACGUGCCGCUACUCCCCUCAUUCCCAACAUGUAUCAAGUACCUGCAUUGAGUAAUGCAAGAGUGAGAUGACACAUCUCAGCAAGUAAAAUAAUAUCAAACUGUUUAACCAUAUAAGAAUAUUGUUUUACCACCACUUGAUUCCACAACUUUCUUAUUACGACGGUGCAGCACGUAUACAACGUACAACACACCUAGUCACCACACCUCGCAGGUAGAAACCACAAUAGUAACAUAGUAAUGUCACAAUUCAUAUAUACCACAUGAGUGCAAAUGUCUGCAAAUGCAAGGAUGACUUCUACCUUCAUACCUCUAAGGAUAUGAAGCCGCAUCGUACCCCUCCUCGGGCAACGUACGAUGCUAAAAAUGUACCGGUACGGUCGGACCAUAAGAUCAUGACAUAACUUCAAAAUGCAAGAUGAAUGAUGCGAUGUGCAUGUCAUGCCUACAACACUUCAUAUAACGUGAUUCAAAAAAAAUACUUCAACUUCAUCCAAGAUGGGAAUCAACCACAUAUAUCAUAACCAAAUUAUGAUCAUCCACAAUAUUAGACAAUUGAGAAUUAAUACUUCCAAACAAAUAAACUUCAUCAUAGAAUUCAAUGAUUAACAUAAUUAAAACUUAUGCAUACUCAAUGACAGGGAAUAGGAUGCAAACCAAACGGUAGCAACCACCACUCUAUUUACUUGCCUUUACCGGAAGUUCGGGCAAAUCCCUAAGUACGAUCCGGAAGUCCACCACCUGUUUUUUGACACACAACUUAGUGCACCAAUUUCACAUAAUCAGGCUCAUAAACAACGCCGCACCUACGCACAAACUCAAACCCCGCCGUGGGUUACAUCUCUCCCCACACCCACCAAACUGCAGCGGCGCUGCUUAAUAAUUUCAUAACUUUAAAAUUAUGACAGCAGUGGUAACAAACAAAAACUCCAGAGACAUCUACAUAAAAUUCCCCACAAGUUUUGUAUACAAUUUAUAAUUAAAUUCCAACAUCUAAUUAGCCCAAAACAGUCCAGAAGAUGAACCCUGUAAUCUGUUUUUUUGUCUUUUGGACAGCGACAUACCCGGAUUCAAACAGCGAUAUCUUUUAAAAUAUAAUUCCAAAUCAAGCGCAUAAGUACUCAUUGGAAAGAUAAGACAAAGCCCUACAUGAUUAUAAUACUGGUUAACACUAAUUACCCACGAAAAAUUCCCACAAACUGCUAAUACUACUGCUGUUCACCCACCUGAAAAAUCUGUUUUUUUGGACAGCAACAUAACCGGAUUCAAACAACGAUAUCUCCUAAAUUAUAACUCCGAAUCGAGCGCAUAAGUACUCGUUGGAAAGGUAUGACAAAGCUCUACAUGAUUCUCCCACUGAUCCCCACUAAUUGCCCACGAAAAAUUCCCAGAAAUCCCUAGAACUACUGCUGUUCGCCCUCGCACAAAAAUUCUGGACAGCCCCUCUACCGAUUCGCAUAGAUAAACAUAUAAUCAAUUGAAUUUUAGCGCAAAAACAUAGAUAACUUCAAGAUCACCUUGAGUUCCACCUUUUUCCUCCUUCCUUCCUCCCACCAAUUCUCCAAUUGAAACUUGCACCCACACGAAGAAGAUCCGACGAGGAAGAACGACACUUGGAGAAGAGGGGAUGGGGGGCGGCGGCUAGGGUUGAGGAGAUGGCUGCUGCAAAAAAAACUUGAGAAUGGAGAGGGGGCGGCUGCAGCACUUGGGGAAGAGAGAAGAGGGAAGAGGG
rnacentral:lncRNA from 1 species